CAGCCGCCGCGGUAAUACGAAGGGGGCUAGCGUUGUUCGGAAUUACUGGGCGUAAAGCGCACGUAGGCGGAUAUUUAAGUCAGGGGUGAAAUCCCAGAGCUCAACUCUGGAGCUGCCUUUGAUACUGGGUAUCUUGAGUAUGGAAGAGGUGAGUGGAAUUCCGAGUGUAGAGGUGAAAUUCGUAGAUAUUCGGAGGAACACCAGUGGCGAAGGCGGCUCACUGGUCCAUUACUGACGCUGAGGUGCGAAAGCGUGGGGAGCAAACAGGAUUAGAUACCCCUGUAGUCCCUGUCUCUUAUAC
rnacentral:rRNA from 1 species